rnacentral:tRNA from 1 species
GCGCCAAUAGCUCAGUUGGAUAGAGCAACUGCCUUCUAAGCAGUAGGUCCCAGGUUCGAGUCCUGGUUGGCGCGCCA